GAUCAAUGGAACUCAACAGACGAAACUCUUCCUUCCUCUACAACAUGCUCAGUCUCUGCUCUUACUCGCUAGGACCACCUCAACCCUCUUCACAUUGAGGUGGAGGUGCUCUGGGGUUCACCCAGAUGACCAUCCAGUCAAAUCAAAGCUUGAAAGAUAAGCUUGUAUCAGGACAAACUAGAGAGGUUCAUAGACUUGAGUAAAGCACCACUUCGACCCUCUACUACCUUGAAUUAUCAGGCUGCAACACGUUUUAUUGAGCAUUCUUUCCCUGACCUGA